rnacentral:rRNA from 1 species
CCUACGGGAGGCAGUAGUGAGGAAUAUUGGUCAAUGGACGAGAGUCUGAACCGGCCAAGUAGCGUGAAGGAUGACUGCCCUAUGGGUUGUAAACUUCUUUUAUAUGGGAAUAAAACGUUCCACGUGUGGGAUUUUGUAUGUACCAUAUGAAUAAGGAUCGGCUAACUCCGUGCCAGCAGCCGCGGUAAUACGGAGGAUCCGAGCGUUAUCCGGAUUUAUUGGGUUUAAAGGGAGCGUAGGUGGAUUGUUAAGUCAGUUGUGAAAGUUUGCGGCUCAACCGUAAAAUUGCAGUUGAAACUGGCAGUCUUGAGUACAGUAGAGGUGGGCGGAAUUCGUGGUGUAGCGGUGAAAUGCUUAGAUAGCACGAAGAACUCCGAUUGCGAAGGCAGUUCACUGGACUGCAACUGACACUGAGGCUCGAAAGUGUGGGUAUCAAACAGGAUUAGAUACCCGAGUAGUC